rnacentral:lncRNA from 1 species
AAAGGGUGAGUUUACGAUAAGUUAGUGUGUAACCCCCUAUCAGUCAAAUAGUAAAUAGUGCUUGCAGUAACAGUUUGGGCCUGAGCCCUAUUCAGUAUCAGUGUGGGCCUAAGCCCGAUUUAGUAUCAGUAUAGUGCAGUCAUGUAACCCACUCCAAUCCAACCAACACACUACCCGUACCAACCAAUACACCAUGUGGGGAUUAAAUUGACCUACCUAGCCAACACACCAAUAUUGCAGCAUAGCUGCUAAUAGUAACGCAGCAAAGCUGCUUAUAAUAGUAAACGUGGCAAAGCCACCAGAGCAGUAAUUAUGUAGCCAAGCCACUAAUACAGUACUUCC